rnacentral:lncRNA from 1 species
AGCCACUUUAAUGAAUUAUAUGAGAAUUAUGUGCAGGUAGAAGUAACAGGAGCCAAUUGCAGUUCCUUUCAGCAGUAUCUUAUUUAAAGAGGAAAGAAACAAAAAAAAAGUCCUAAAAUACCAUUCAUUUAUGGAAGUAAGUGUGGCAGGUGGCAUGGAUUAUUUUAGGAGUCACAGAUCUAAUUUUGUUUUGUGUAUCUCCCCCUCUGCUUUAUAGCUCAACCCUUCUCAUGGAACAGCUGUCUUACCUUGCUCCAGAUUCACUGAUCAUAUGAAGACUUUCUCUGAAUCUUUUAAACUUAGAAGUUUAUGUUUUCUGCAUUUUCCAGUCUUCAGAGGGAUCAAUAGGGUUCACCCAACCUGAAC